CGGAUGCCUUGGCACAGGAAGUCGACGAAGGACGCGGCAAGCUGCGAUAAGCCCCGGGGAGUGGCAAACACACCUUGAUCCGGGGAUCUCCGAAUGGGGGAACCCAGCAGGGGUCAUGCCCUGCUACCCACGCCUGAAUCAAAUAGGGCGUAGGGAGGCAACCGGGGGAACUGAAACAUCUAAGUACCCCGAGGAAGAGAAAUCAACCGAGAUUGCGCGAGUAGCGGCGAGCGAAAGCGCACCAGCCCAAACCCGGGCGCGUGUAAGCGGCAGGCGUUGCCGCCCGGGGGUUGCGGGACACCCGUCCAGGUGCUGCCCACCUGGGAGUGGUCACAAAUCCGUCAGGUAGCGGAACGGCAUGGAAGGGCCGGCCGCAGCGGGUGAGAGCCCCGUACGCGAAACCUGACGGACCACUGCGGUGCAUCCCGAGUAGGGCCGGGCACGUGAAACCCGGUCCGAAGCCGGGGGGACCACCCUCCAAGGCUGAACACUCUCCUGUGACCGAUAGCGAACCAGUACCGUGAGGGAAAGGUGAAAAGCACCCCGAGAGGGGAGUGAAACAGUACCUGAAACCGUGCGCCCACAAGCAGUCGGAGCAGCCUUUGCGCUGUGACGGCGUGCCUUUUGUAGAAUGAGCCAGCGAGUUGCGGUGUGCGGCGAGGUUAAGUUUGGAAACGAGCCGCAGCGAAAGCGAGCCUUUAAGAUGGCGAGUGAGUCGCACGCUGCAGACGCGAAGCCGGGUGAGCUAUCCUGGGGCAGGCUGAAGCGGGGGUAAGACCCCGUGGAGGGCCGAACCCACUUCGGUUGAAAACGGAGGGGAUGACCCCAGGAUAGGGGUGAAAGGCCAAUCAAACCCGGAGAUAUCUCGUUCUCCCCGAAAUAGCUUUAGGGCUAGCCUCGGCCGUUAACCCGCGGUGGUAGAGCCACCGGAUCGACGAGGGGGCUUCACCGCCUACCGACUCGAACCGAACUCCGAAUGCCGCGGGUCGAGAGGCCGGGAGUCAGAGGGCGUGGGCUAAGCUGCGCGCUCGAGAGGGAAACAGCCCAGACCGCCCGCUAAGGUCCCCAAGUCAUCGCUGAGUGGCAAAGGAUGUGCGUCUGCCCAGACAACCAGGAUGUUGGCUUAGAAGCAGCCAUGCAUUUAAAGAGUGCGUAACAGCUCACUGGUCGAGUGGACAUGCGCCGACAAUUCACGGGGCUAAGCGAUGCACCGAAGCGGCGGACUGAUCUUUCAGUGGUAGGGGAGCUUUCCGCGACCGGCGAAGCCGCAGGGCGACCUGCGGUGGAGGGCGCGGAAGUGAGAAUGCUGGCAUGAGUAACGAGACCAGGGCGAGAAACCCUGGCGCCGUGAGCCUAAGGGUUCCUGGGCGAGGCUAAUCCCCCCAGGGUCAGUCGGGAGCUAAGGCGAGGCCGCGAGGCGUAGCCGAUGCGCAGCGGGCAGACAUUCCCGCACCGCCGACGGCGCGGCAUUACCGAUGGGGCGACGGAGAAGGGUAGCCGGGCGGGGUUCUGGACGUCCCCGUGAAAGCGCGUAGGGCGCAGGGCAUGGAAAUCAGCCCUGCACGAGGCCUGAGACGCGAGACGAAGCGACCGAGCGAAGCCGGUGAGCCCAUGCUUCCGAGAAAAACCUCUAGGGAGUGCCGUCGGCGCCCGUACCAAAACCGACACAGGUGGGCGGGUAGAACAUACCGAGGCGAUCGGGAGAACCACGGUUAAGGAACUCGGCAUACUGGCCCCGUAACUUCGGGAGAAGGGGCGCCCCCGCCGGUGAAGGCACUUGCUGCCGGAGCUAGUGGGGGCCGCAGCGAAACGGCCCAAGCGACUGUUUAUCAAAAACACAGGACUCUGCAAAGCCGCAAGGCGACGUAUAGGGUCUGACGCCUGCCCGGUGCCGGAAGGUUACGCGGAUGCGUCAGCCGAAAGGCGAAGCGCUGAAGCCAAGCCCCGGUAAACGGCGGCCGUAACUAUAACGGUCCUAAGGUAGCGAAAUUCCUUGUCGGGUAAGUUCCGACCUGCACGAAUGGCGUAACGAUUUGGGCGCUGUCUCAAC
rnacentral:rRNA from 1 species